GGGGCACGAGAAACCUUGUCUGAAUAUGGGGGGACCAUCCUCCAAGGCUAAAUACUACUGACUGACCGAUAGUGAACCAGUACCGUGAGGGAAAGGCGAAAAGAACCCCUGUGAGGGGAGUGAAAUAGAACCUGAAACCGGAUGCGUACAAGCAGUCAGAGCCCGCAAGGGUGAUGGCGUACCUUUUGUAUAAUGGGUCAGCGACUUACUAGUCUGUAGCAAGCCUAACCGUAUAGGGAAGGCGUAGGGAAACCGAGUCUUAAUAGGGCGCUUAGUUGCAGGCUGUAGACCCGAAACCCGUCGAUCUAUUCAUGUCCAG
rnacentral:rRNA from 1 species